rnacentral:rRNA from 1 species
UACGGAGGGGGCGAGCGUUGUUCGGAAUCACUGGGCGUAAAGCGCGUGUAGGCGGCCCACUAAGUCUGAUGUGAAAGCCCGGGGCUCACCCCCGGAAGUGCAUUGGAAACUGGUGGACUCGAGUCCCGGAGAGGAGAGUGGAAUUCCUGGUGUAGCGGUGAAAUGCGUAGAUAUCAGGAGGAACACCGGUGGCGAAGGCGGCACUCUGGACGGUGACUGACGCUGAGACGCGAAAGCGUGGGGAGCAAACAGG